UUGCUUUGGCAACACAUAUACUAAAUUUUGAACAAUACAGAGAAGAUUAGUGUGGCCUCUAAGCAAAGAUGAUAUGCAAAUUCAUUAAGUGUUUCAUAUUUUU
rnacentral:snRNA from 1 species